rnacentral:rRNA from 1 species
AGUGAACGCUGGCGGUAGGCCUAACACAUGCAAGUCGAACGGCAGCACAGUAAGAGCUUGCUCUUACGGGUGGCGAGUGGCGGACGGGUGAGGAAUACAUCGGAAUCUACUUUUUCGUGGGGGAUAACGUAGGGAAACUUACGCUAAUACCGCAUACGACCUACGGGUGAAAGCAGGGGAUCUUCGGACCUUGCGCGAUUGAAUGAGCCGAUGUCGGAUUAGCUAGUUGGCGGGGUAAAGGCCCACCAAGGCGACGAUCCGUGCUGGUCUGAGAGGAUGAUCAGCCACACUGGAACUGAGACACGGUCCAGACUCCUACGGGAGGCAGCAGUGGGGAAUAUUGGACAAUGGGCGCAGGCCUGAUCCAGCCAUACCGCGUGGGUGAAGAAGGCCUUCGGGUUGUAAAGCCCUUUUGUUGGGAAAGAAAAGCAGCAGGUUAAUACCCCGCUGUUCUGACGGUACCCAAAGAAUAAGCACCGGCUAACUUCGUG